rfam:Schistosoma curassoni strain Dakar, Senegal genome assembly, scaffold: SCTD_scaffold0006507
GCACUGCUGAGGAGUCCCACAAUAGGAUGAAAUGGUCAUUCAGUAC